UUAAGCAAUCUAUACGGUGAAACUGCGAAUGGCUCAUUAAAUCAGUUAUCGUUUAUUUGAUAGUACCUUACUACUUGGAUAACCGUGGUAAUUCUAGAGCUAAUACAUGCUAAAAACCUCGACUUCGGAAGGGGUGUAUUUAUUAGAUAAAAAACCAAUGCCCUCCGGGGCUCCUUUGGUGAUUCAUGAUAACUCGACGAAUCGCAUGGCCUUGCGCCGGCGAUGGUUCAUUCAAAUUUCUGCCCUAUCAACUUUCGAUGGUAGGAUAGUGGCCUACCAUGGUUUCAACGGGUAACGGGGAAUUAGGGUUCUAUUCCGGAGAGGGAGCCUGAGAAACGGCUACCACAUCCAAGGAAGGCAGCAGGCGCGCAAAUUACCCAAUCCCGACACGGGGAGGUAGUGACAAUAAAUACUGAUGCGGAGCUCUUUAGGGUUUCGCAAUUGGAAUGAGUACAAUUUAAAUCCCUUAACGAGGAACAAUUGGAGGGCAAGUCUGGUGCCAGCAGCCGCGGUAAUUCCAGCUCCAAUAGCGUAUAUUAAAGUUGUUGCAGUUAAAAAGCUCGUAGUUGAACCUUGGGCCUGGCUGGCCGGUCCGCCUCACCGCGUGCACUGGUCCGGCCGGGCCUUUCCUUCCGGGGAGCCGCAUGCCCUUCACUGGGUGUGCCGGGGAACCGGGACUUUUACUUUGAAAAAAUUAGAGUGUUCAAAGCAGGCAUAUGCUCGGAUACAUUAGCAUGGAAUAAUGGAAUAGGACGUGUGGUCUAUUUUGUUGGUCUCUAGGACCGCCGUAGUG
rnacentral:rRNA from 1 species